rnacentral:rRNA from 1 species
CUUACACAUGCAAGUCGUACGAGAAAUCUUCAGCUUGCUGAAGAGAGUAGAGUGGCGCACGGGUGAGUAACGCGUGGGUAAUCUACCUUCGAAUUGGGGAUAACAUUGCGAAAGCGAUGCUAAUACCGGAUGAUAUCCAUUUGGCUUCGGUCAGAUGGCUCAAAGAUGGCCUCUUCUUGAAAGCCAUUGUUUGAAGAUGAGCCCGCGUACCAUUAGCUUGUUGGUGGGGUAAUGGCCUACCAAGGCAGCGAUGGUUAGCUGGUCUGAGAGGAUGAUCAGCCACACUGGAACUGACACACGGUCCAGACUCCUACGGGAGGCAGCAGUGAGGAAUUUUGCGCAAUGGGGGAAACCCUGACGCAGCAACGCCGCGUGAGUGAUGAAGGCUUUCGGGUCGUAAAGCUCUGUCAAGUGGGAAGAAACCACAGGAUGUUAAUAUCAUCUUGUUUUGACGGUACCACUGAAGGAAGCACCGGCUAACUCCGUGCCAGCAGCCGCGGUAAUACGGGGGGUGCAAGCGUUAUUCGGAAUCAUUGGGCGUAAAGGGCGCGUAGGCGGCCUGUUAAGUCAGAUGUGAAAGCCCGGGGCUUAACCCCGGAAGUGCAUUUGAAACUAAUAGGCUUGAGUAUGGGAGAGGGAAGUGGAAUUCCUGGUGUAGAGGUGAAAUUCGUAGAUAUCAGGAGGAACACCGGUGGCGAAGGCGACUUCCUGGACCAAUACUGACGCUGAGGCGCGAAGGCGUGGGUAGCAAACAGGAUUAGAUACCCUGGUAGUCCACGCAGUAAACGUUGUUCACUAGGUGAAGCGGGUAUUGACCCCUGCUGUGCCGCAGUUAACGCAUUAAGUGAACCGCCUGGGGAGUACGAUCGCAAGAUUAAAACUCAAGGAAUUGACGGGGGCCCGCACAAGCGGUGGAGCAUGUGGAUUUAAUUCGACGCAACGCGAAGAACCUUACCUGGAUUUGACAUCCUGGGAAUCCUAUCGAAGACUGGAGUGCCCUUCGGGGAGCCCGG